AUUGAACGCUGGCGGCAGGCUUAACACAUGCAAGUCGAGCGGAGAUGAGGUGCUUGCACCUUAUCUUAGCGGCGGACGGGUGAGUAAUGCUUAGGAAUCUGCCUAUUAGUGGGGGACAACAUUCCGAAAGGAAUGCUAAUACCGCAUACGCCCUACGGGGGAAAGCAGGGGAUCUUCGGACCUUGCGCUCAUAGAUGCGCCUAAGUCGGAUUAGCUAGGUGGUGGGGUAAAGGCCUACCAAGGCGACGAUCUGUAGCGGGUCUGAGAGGAUGAUCCGCCACACUGGGACUGAGACACGGCCCAGACUCCUACGGGAGGCAGCAGUGGGGAAUAUUGGACAAUGGGCGGAAGCCUGAUCCAGCCAUGCCGCGUGUGUGAAGAAGGCCUUUUGGUUGUAAAGCACUUUAAGCGAGGAGGAGGCUACCUGGAUUAAUACUCUAGGAUAGUGGACGUUACUCGCAGAAUAAGCACCGGCUAACUCUGUGCCAGCAGCCGCCGCAGUAA
rnacentral:rRNA from 1 species